rnacentral:rRNA from 1 species
UACGUAGGGGGCAAGCGUUGUCCGGAAUCAUUGGGCGUAAAGCGCGUGUAGGCGGUUACGUAAGUCUGCUGUGAAAGUCGGAGGCUCAACCUUCGAAAGCCGGUGGAUACUGCGUGACUAGAGUACGGAAGAGGAGAGUGGAAUUCCCGGUGUAGCGGUGAAAUGCGCAGAUAUCGGGAAGAACACCCGUGGCGAAGGCGGCUAGCUCUCGGGACGGUACUGACGCUGAGACGCGAAAGCGUGGGAGCGA